rnacentral:rRNA from 1 species
UCGAGCGCACCUUCGGGCGAGCGGCGGACGGGUUAGUAACGCGUGGGAACGUACCCUUUUCUACGGAAUAGCCUUUGGAAACGAAGAGUAAUACCGUAUACGCCCUUUGGGGGAAAGAUUUAUCGGAGAAGGAUCGGCCCGCGUUAGAUUAGAUAGUUGGUGGGGUAACGGCCUACCAAGUCUACGAUCUAUAGCUGGUUUUAGAGGAUGAUCAGCAACACUGGGACUGAGACACGGCCCAGACUCCUACGGGAGGCAGCAGUGGGGAAUCUUAGACAAUGGGGGCAACCCUGAUCUAGCCAUGCCGCGUGUGUGAUGAAGGCCCUAGGGUCGUAAAGCACUUUCGCCAGAGAUGAUAAUGACAGUAUCUGGUAAAGAAACCCCGGCUAACUCCGUGCCAGCAGCCGCGGUAAUACGGAGGGGGUUAGCGUUGUUCGGAAUUACUGGGCGUAAAGCGCACGUAGGCGGAUUAGUAAGUUAGAGGUGAAAUCCCAGGGCUCAACCCUGGAACUGCCUUUAAUACUGCUAGUCUUGAGUUCGAGAGAGGUAAGUGGAAUUCCGAGUGUAGAGGUGAAAUUCGUAGAUAUUCGGAGGAACACCAGUGGCGAAGGCGGCUUACUGGCUCGAUACUGACGCUGAGGUGCGAAAGUGUGGGGAGCAAACAGGAUUAGAU